rnacentral:rRNA from 1 species
AUUGAACGCUGGCGGCAUGCCUUACACAUGCAAGUCGAACGGUAACGCGGGGCAACCUGGCGACGAGUGGCGAACGGGUGAGUAAUAUAUCGGAACGUGCCCAAUAGUGGGGGAUAGCCCGGCGAAAGCCGGAUUAAUACCGCAUACGACCUGAGGGUGAAAGCGGGGGAUCGCAAGACCUCGCGCUAUUGGAGCGGCCGAUAUCAGAUUAGGUAGUUGGUGGGGUAAAGGCCUACCAAGCCUACGAUCUGUAGCUGGUCUGAGAGGACGACCAGCCACACUGGGACUGAGACACGGCCCAGACUCCUACGGGAGGCAGCAGUGGGGAAUUUUGGACAAAUGGGCGGAAGCCUGAUCCAGCCAUGCCGCGUGAGUGAAGAAGGCCUCGGUGUAAGAGUCUUCGUCGGGAGGAAGUAG